rnacentral:rRNA from 1 species
AGGUGACCUGCGGAGGGAUCAUUACCGAGUUCAUGCCCUCCGGGUAGAUCUCCCACCCACUGCUAUCACUACUCUCGUUGCUUUGGUGGGCCGCUGGGCCCUGCCCGGCCGCCGGCCCCGGCUGGCGCGUGCCCGCCAGAGACCUCACAGACUCUGAAUGUUAGUGUCGUCCGAGUAACUAUACAAUCGUUAAAACUUUCAACAACGGAUCUCUUGGUUCUGGCAUCGAUGAAGAACGCAGCGAAAUGCGAUAAGUAAUGCGAAUUGCAGAAUUCAGUGAGUCAUCGAAUCUUUGAACGCACAUUGCGCCCUGUGGUAUUCCGCAGGGCAUGCCUGUUCGAGCGUCAUUUCAACCCUCAAGCCUCGCUUGGUGUUGGGCCCUGCCCGCCGCGGCCGGCCCUAAAGAUAGUGGCGGCGCCGCCUGGCCCUCAGCGUAGUACAGCUCUCGCUCCAGGGUCCGGCGGCAGCCUGCCAGAACCCCCCAACUCUGUGGUUGACCUCGGAUCAGGUAGGGAUACCCGCUGAACUUAAGCAUAUCAAUAAGCGGAGG